rnacentral:tRNA from 1 species
GAAGCGGAGCGGUCCUGGUGGGCCGCGCGGUCUUCAAAACCGUUGGGGGCGGCAGACCCGCCCCGGUGGGUUCGAUUCCCAUCCGCUU